CCUACGGGUGGCUGCAGUGGGGAAUAUUGCACAAUGAGCGCAAGCCUGAUGCAGCCGUGCCGCGUGUGUGAAGAAGGCCUUCGGGUUGUAAAGCACUUUCAGCGGGGAGGAAGGCGGUGAGGUUAAUAACCUCAUCGAUUGACGUUACCCGCAGAAGAAGCACCGGCUAACUCCGUGCCAGCAGCCGCGGUAAUACGGAGGGUGCAAGCGUUAAUCGGAAUUACUGGGCGUAAAGCGCACGCAGGCGGUCUGUCAAGUCGGAUGUGAAAUCCCCGGGCUCAACCUGGGAACUGCAUUCGAAACUGGCAGGCUAGAGUCUUGUAGAGGGGGGUAGAAUUCCAGGUGUAGCGGUGAAAUGCGUAGAGAUCUGGAGGAAUACCGGUGGCGAAGGCGGCCCCCUGGACAAAGACUGACGCUCAGGUGCGAAAGCGUGGGGAGCAAACAGGAUUAGAUACCCCAGUAGUC
rnacentral:rRNA from 1 species